UACGUAGGGUGCAGGCGUUAAUCGGAAUUACUGGGCGUAAAGCGUGCGCAGGCGGUUUCUUAAGUCAGAUGUGAAAUCCCCGGGCUCAACCUGGGAACUGCAUUUGUGACUGUAGAGCUGGAGUGCGGCAGAGGGGGAUGGAAUUCCGCGUGUAGCAGUGAAAUGCGUAGAUAUGCGGAGGAACACCGAUGGCGAAGGCAAUCCCCUGGGCCUGCACUGACGCUCAUGCACGAAAGCGUGGGGAGCAAACAGG
rnacentral:rRNA from 1 species